UGCCUCAGCUUAUAAGAAGACUGCUACCCAACACUCUCUCCCUUUCUUCACUCUCUCUUUCUUGUCCCCACAUGUUCCCGGCUGGCCUCUUCCUCCUCUCUCUUUUUAUCUUUCUCCCCUCCUUUUUCUGCCCCCAUCCAGCCCUCCCCCUGCCCCUAACAAAUCUUCUUUAUACUAGGCCUGAGGGAUGGUGUGAUUCCUCAGAGGGAGACCUUUUCUGGGCUCACUAACUGUCCUGUCACCUCCACCACAAUUAUACCGCAUUAUGAUUGUGGUUUGAAUAUGCUUGUCCUAGGGAGUGGCAUUAUUAGGAGGUAUGGCCUUGUUGGAGGAAGUGUGUCACUGUGGGGGUGGACAAUAAGACCCUCCUCCUAGCUGCCUGGGAGACAGUCUAUCCUGGAUGCAGUCAGGUCAAGAUGCAGAACUCUCAGCUCCUUUUCCAGAACUGUGUCUGCCUGGAUUCUGCUGUGCUACCUACUGUGAUGAUAAUGGACUGAACCUGUCUGCAGGUCCACAUCCAUAUGUGUGAAAGUGCAUGAGGAGGACAUGGAAUGAUGCCACAAUAAACAGUUGCGGUCUACAGGCUAGAUGUAUAGAGUGAUAGAAUAGGCUUCUCCUCAAGUGUCAGCA
rnacentral:lncRNA from 1 species